AGAAAGGAAUUUUUGUAAUGUGUAUUUGCAGGUAAACUAUAUAGCUGUAACAGAAGUGUUGCCUGUACAGUGUACAGAUUAAAAUGCAGGACUGAUUCAUGCAACUUUCAUAUCAGAAAGGAACAUGCCAAAAAAUGACGCAGAAACCUAAGAAACGCUUAGUGUUAGCUAGUAAGGAAACAAUUAGUAUGCAUAUAUCUGACUCUUUACAAAGAUGUAUGGCGCCACAAAUCCUAAACAACAUUUUGCUCAAAAAAGUUAACCAAAAGGAAAACCUACUCCAAUUAUAGCCAGGUGGGCUUUUGUGACCUCUCUGAAUAUGACCAAGAAAAAUCUAUUGAAUUGAUAGUCAAAUCUAUGUAUGCAGCAAAUGUUGAAGAACAAUCAGAAGUGAGCUCAUGUCUGCCUUCUGACAAAAUUACCAGGUUCAACAGGCAACAUAACCGGAGCAUUUGUUGUAUGAUUUUGCUGGGGAUGGACCUAGAUGCAUAGUACAGAAAUGACAAUAUUAAUGCAAGAUACCAAGAAUGACAGCUAGCAUGCCAUAGUCAAAGUUGUGGCAGGAUGCAUGGUUUUACUUUUGUAUUCCUUCAGGUGUUUUUAUCAAAAAUCAAUGCAAAAGAAAGGCCACAAUAAUUGUUCCAAAAA